UACAGAGGUCCCAAGCGUUGUUCGGAUUCACUGGGCGUAAAGGGUGCGUAGGCGGUUGGGUAAGUCUGUCGUGAAAUCUCCGAGCCUAACUCGGAAACUGCGUCGGAUACUAUUCAACUCGAGGAAUGGAGGGGAGACUGGAAUUCUCGGUGUAGCAGUGAAAUGCGUAGAUAUCAGGAGGAAUACCGAUGGCGAAGGCAGGUCUCUGGGCUAUAACUGACGCUCAUGCACGAAAGCGUGGGGAGCAAACAGG
rnacentral:rRNA from 1 species